GACGGACCGUACGAACGUUAUUCGGAAUUACUGGGCUUAAAGGGUGCGUAGGCGGCUCAGAGAGUUGAAUGUGAAAGCCCUCGGCUUAACCGAGGAAUUGCAUCCAAAACUACUGGGCUUGAGUGAGACAGAGGUGAGCGGAACUCACGGUGGAGCGGUGAAAUGCGUUGAUAUCGUGAGGAACACCGGUGGCGAAAGCGGCUCACUGGGUCUUUGCUGACGCUGAGGCACGAAAGCUAGGGUAGCGAACGGG
rnacentral:rRNA from 1 species